rnacentral:rRNA from 1 species
CGGGGAAUUUUGGACAAUGGGCGCAAGCCUGAUCCAGCCAUGCCGCGUGCGGGAAGAAGGCCUUCGGGUUGUAAACCGCUUUUGUCAGGGAAGAAUCUUCUGAGUUAAUACCUCGGGAGGAUGACGGUACCUGAAGAAUAAGCACCGGCUAACUACGUGCCAGCAGCCGCGGUAAUACGUAGGGUGCAAGCGUUAAUCGGAAUUACUGGGCGUAAAGCGUGCGCAGGCGGUUUUGUAAGACAGAGGUGAAAUCCCCGGGCUCAACCUGGGAACUGCCUUUGUGACUGCAAGGCUUGAGUGCGGCAGAGGGGGGAUGGAAUUCCGCGUGUAGCAGUGAAAUGCGUAGAUAUGCGGAGGAACACCGAUGGCGAAGGAAUCCCCUGGGCCUGNACUGACGCUCAUGCACGAAAGCGUGGGGAGCAAACAGGAUUAGAUAGCCCUGGUAGUCCACGCCCUAAACGAUGUCAACUGGUUGUUGGGAAGGUUCCUUCUCAGUAACGUAGCUAACGCGUGAAGUUGACCGCCUGGGGAGUACGG